rnacentral:rRNA from 1 species
CGGAGGAUCCGAGCGUUAUCCGGAUUUAUUGGGUUUAAAGGGUGCGCAGGCGGGAGAUUAAGUCGGCGGUGAAAUUCUGCAGCUCAACUGUAAAAGUGCCUUCGAAACUGGUUUCCUUGAGUGUAGAUGAAGUAGGCGGAAUUUGUGGUGUAGCGGUGAAAUGCAUAGAUAUCACGAGGAACUCCGAUUGCGCAGGCAGCUUACUAAACUACUACUGACGCUCAGGCACGAAGGCGUGGGGAUCAAACAGGAUUAGAUACCCU